rnacentral:tRNA from 1 species
GGCGGCGUAACUCAGUCUGGUUAGAGUGCUACGCUCAUAACGUAGAUGUCCCGAGUUCAAAUCUCGGCGCCGCCA